rnacentral:hammerhead_ribozyme from 1 species
AUGUAGCUGAUGAGUCCUAAAUAGGAGGAAACACUCAUCCUGCAU